CCCUGGCUGGGGGCCUUCUGCAAGAGGUUUCCUCCGAGCAUAGAAGCAGUGCACAGUGUUCCUCACACUUCCAAUCGGUGCCAGAGGAAGGGCCAGGCACCGCUGCCCUCCCGCACGCUGUGGCUCGCUCGCAAUUGCCCCCCCUCUUCAGGAGAGCACUUCGGGCUCUCCGCAGGAGUUACUGCUUCAGCUGCAUCACAGAAGACCUAGAGCAACGUGAGGCUGACAGUACCAGGGAGCUCCCCACAGAUGGCAGCUUCAGUCCCGAGGACGGGGCUUCUGAAUAAAAUUGUUCAGGACUAUUUCAUA